rnacentral:rRNA from 1 species
GGACCGGCUAAUUCCGUGCCAGCAGCCGCGGUAAUACGGAAGGUCCGGGUGUUAUCCGGAUUUAUUGGGUUUAAAGGGAGCGUAGGCCGGAGAUUAAGCGUGUUGUGAAAUGUAGAUGCUCAACAUCUGCACUGCAGCGCGAACUGGUUUCCUUGAGUACGCACAAAGUGGGCGGAAUUCGUGGUGUAGCGGUGAAAUGCUUAGAUAUCACGAAGAACUCCGAUUGUGAAGGCAGCUCACUGGAGCGCAACUGACGCUGAAGCUCGAAAGUGCGGGUAUCGAACAGGAUUAGAUACCCUGGUAGUCCGCACGGUAAACGAUGGAUGCCCGCUGUUGGUCUGAAUAGGUCAGCGGCCAAGCGAAAGCAUUAAGCAUCCCACCUGGGGAGUACGCCGGCAACGGUGCAACUCAAAGGAAU